rnacentral:rRNA from 1 species
UACGUAGGGUGCAAGCGUUGUCCGGAAUUAUUGGGCGUAAAGAGCUCGUAGGCGGUCUGUCGCGUCUGCUGUGAAGACUCAGGGCUUAACCCUGAGCUUGCAGUGGGUACGGGCAGACUAGAGUGGCGGUAGGGGAGACUGGAAGUUCCUGGUGUAGCGGUGGAAUGCGCAGAUAUCAGGAGGAACACCGGUGGCGAAGGCGGGUCUCUGGGCGAG